rnacentral:rRNA from 1 species
GACGAACGCUGGCGGCGUGCUUAACACAUGCAAGUCGAACGAUGAAGCCUAGCUUGCUAGGUGGAUUAGUGGCGAACGGGUGAGUAAUACGUGAGUAACCUACCUUUAACUCUGGGAUAAGCCCGGGAAACUGGGUCUAAUACCGGAUACGACCAAUCUCCGCAUGGGGUGUUGGUGGAAAGCGUUAUGUAGUGGUUAUAGAUGGGCCCACGGCCUAUCAGCUUGUUGGUGAGGUAACGGCUCACCAAGGCGACGACGGGUAGCCGGCCUGAGAGGGUGACCGGCCACACUGGGACUGAGACACGGCCCAGACUCCUACGGGAGGCAGCAGUGGGGAAUAUUGCACAAUGGGCGCAAGCCUGAUGCAGCGACGCCGCGUGAGGGAUGACGGCCUUCGGGUUGUAAACCUCUGUUAGCAGGGAAGAAGAGAGAUUGACGGUACCUGCAGAGAAAGCGCCGGCUAACUACGUGCCAGCAGCCGCGGUAAUACGUAGGGCGCGAGCGUUGUCCGGAAUUAUUGGGCGUAAAGAGCUUGUAGGCGGUUUGUCGCGUCUGCUGUGAAGGCCGGGGCUUAACUCCGUGUAUUGCAGUGGGUACGGGCAGACUAGAGUGCAGUAGGGGAGACUGGAAUUCCUGGUGUAGCGGUGGAAUGCGCAGAUAUCAGGAGGAACACCGAUGGCGAAGGCAGGUCUCUGGGCCGUAACUGACGCUGAGAAGCGAAAGCAUGGGGAGCGAACAGGAUUAGAUACCCUGGUAGUCCAUGCCGUAAACGUUGGGCACUAGGUGUGGGGGACAUUCCACGUUUUCCGCGCCGUAGCUAACGCAUUAAGUGCCCCGCCUGGGGAGUACGGCCGCAAGGCUAAAACUCAAAGAAAUUGACGGGGGCCCGCACAAGCGGCGGAGCAUGCGGAUUAAUUCGAUGCAACGCGAAGAACCUUACCAAGGCUUGACAUAUACUGGACCGCAUCAGAGAUGGUGUUUCCCUUCGGGGCUGGUAUACAGGUGGUGCAUGGUUGUCGUCAGCUCGUGUCGUGAGAUGUUGGGUUAAGUCCCGCAACGAGCGCAACCCUCGUUCUAUGUUGCCAGCACGUUAUGGUGGGGACUCAUAGGAGACUGCCGGGGUCAACUCGGAGGAAGGUGGGGAUGACGUCAAAUCAUCAUGCCCCUUAUGUCUUGGGCUUCACGCAUGCUACAAUGGCCGGUACAGAGGGUUGCGAUACUGUGAGGUGGAGCUAAUCCCUAAAAGCCGGUCUCAGUUCGGAUUGGGGUCUGCAACUCGACCCCAUGAAGUCGGAGUCGCUAGUAAUAUCAGAUAAGCAACAACGCGGCGAAGAAGUUGCCGGGCUU